AUUGAACGCUGGCGGCAGGCCUAACACAUGCAAGUCGAGCGAGCGGCGGACGGGUGAGUAAUGUCUGGGAAACUGCCUGAUGGAGGGGGAUAACUACUGGAAACGGUAGCUAAUACCGCAUACCAUCAGAUGUGCCCAGAUGGGAUUAGCUAGUAGGUGGGGGAAUGGCUCACCUAGGCGACGAUCCCUAGCUGGGCUGAGAGGAUGACCAGCCACACCGGAACUGGGACACGGUCCCGGCUCCUUCGGGAGGCAGCAGUGGGGAAUAGUGCACAAUGGGGGGGAGCCUUAUGGAGCCAUGCCGCGUGUGGUGAGAAGGUCUUCGGGGUGUAAAGCACUUUCCGCGGGGAGGCGUUACCCGCAGAAGAAGCACCGGCUAACUCCGUGCCAGCAGCCGCGGUAAUAC
rnacentral:rRNA from 1 species